CACAGUAGGAACCAUUAUUACCUAACACUAACAGUUGAAAUAUUUAAAAAUAGAUGAUGUUUCUUGCACUUAGCAGAAGAAGAGAGGGCAGCAACAAGGUGGAUCCAAGGCUGUGUUUGUGGGGCAAGUGGGCCCCGUGCAGCUUGGUACUGGCCAGCUGGACCAUGCCAUCCUCCUGGAAUGGCCUGCCUGCUCAUCUCCCACCUAGCCCUGCCCCUUCCCAUUCUGGG
rnacentral:lncRNA from 1 species